AGACUGCACAUACAUUAAGUCCUAUUAAAGUGUCAUCCUUGAUUAGCCUGUGCAGACUGCGCAUACAUUAAGUCCUAUUAAAUUGUCAUCCCAGAUUAGCCUGUGCAGACUGCACAUACAUUAAGUCCUAUUAAAGUGUCAUCCUUGAUUAGCCUGUGCAGACUGCCCAUACAUUAAGUCCUAUUAAAUUGUCAUCCCAGAUUAGCCUGUGCAGACUGCACAUACAUUAAGUCCUAUUAAAGUGUCAUCCUUGAUUAGCCUGUGCAGACUGCGCAUACAUUAAGUCCUAUUAAAGUGUCAUCCCAGAUUAGCCUGUGCAGACUGCACAUACAUUAAGUCCUAUUAAAGUGUCAUCUCAGAUUAGCCUGUGCAGACUGUGCAUACAUUAAGUCCUAUUAAAGUGUCAUCCCAGAUUAGCCUGUGCAGACUGCGCAUACAUUAAGCCCUAUUAAAGUGUCAUAUCAGAUUAGCCUGUGCAGACUGCGCAUACAUUAAGUCCUAUUAAAGUGUCAUCCCAGAUUAGCCUGUGCAGACUGCCCAUACUUUAAGUCCUAUUAAAUUGUCAUCCCAGAUUAGCCUGUGCAGACUGCGCAUACAUUAAGUCCUAUUAAAUUGUCAUCCCAGAUUAGCCUGUGCAGACUGCACAUUAAUUAAGUCCUAUUUAUCCGAGAAUGAGGCUCAUAUAGUUCACUUAACGUCAGUCCUUUUUCUGCCUGAUUGAGGAAAAGUUCCUAGCAUAAAAUGUGAAUUCUAUGAUUUUAAAUUUAUCAAACUUGGUAAAUAAAUAGCAAAUAAAAGUUAAUCUGAUAUCAGUUUUAAUCAAAAGUCAGGGCAUAGUUUUGUCUAUUUUUCUGCUGAAAUUUAGCCGUUGAACAACAGUUUCUCCUUGCAAUAAAAAAAUCCACUUUAAUUAUUAAAUUCUAUUAAAUUUAAGUAAAACAAUUAUUUAAUGCCUUCAGCUCAUUAUAAAAUUAUUAUCUUCAUUUAUUUUCAAUAUUUAUUUAAAUUGCCGAAUUUUGUUUUAAGAGCUAGUUCCUAUCAAUCAUAGAUCGGUACCCUGCUGAAAAACAGGAUCUCUGGUCAGCUGGGCCCAGAUGCUCAGCAACACUUCCUGGCCCAGGACCUUGGGGCAAAUGCUCAACAUGUCCUAGCUGCAUGGUGAAGCCAGUCUAAUUCUUGGGCUCCAAACUCUCCUGAUGUGGCGCCAAGUUUACCUCAUCCAUAAGGGACACAGUUCUGGAAUGCGCUAAGGUCCUUUUAUCUGUUCACAGAGGCCUUAUACUCACAAGUUCAGGCCCAGAGAACGGUGUUCCCCAACUACAACACAACGUCUCAAUAGGUCAAGGGUCACCCCGCAAUGUUUAGUGCCUAGCGAUGAAAUCAUCCACUGUUACAUGUAGUUGGUUCAGGGUCUCCCAAAACCACCCAGUGCCUUGCGAUGAAAACCUCCAACGGGACUGUGACCUUGCCUUGUACAUACCUAAUGGUCAGGUUGAUGAUCACUUGGGCUUAGAUAGUCACUGCAGUAAGAACGUGUAAGAUUUUAAAGAAGAUGACUUCACAAUAGGACAUCCGAGACUGCAAUGACGAAAUGAGUGUCCUCACUUCAGCAGUGGAAGCCAAUACACAAUAAGAGAGUUUCCAGCGGCUUACCUUAUCUGCUUCAAUGCAUUGAAUGCAUUCACAGUUUCAACACGCUUUACAACUCUAGAACAUCGUGGGCACAAGGUGGGCUUUAGUUAAAUCUUUUGACAUUACCUUGUUAAUAUGAUAGGUCGAGGCACUGACAAGCGUUUUGUCGGGUUGAAAUCAGUUGGGUUUGUCAUUGAAAAUGCUAGUAUUGCCUUGAAAUUGUUU